rnacentral:rRNA from 1 species
AGAGUUUGAUCCUGGCUCAGAAUAAACGCUGGCGGCGUGCCUAACACAUGCAAGUCGAACGAGAAAAGUCGCAAGGCUAAGUAAAGUGGCGCACGGGUGAGUAAUGCAUAGGAAUCUACCCUUUUGUGGAGAAUACCUUGGAGAAAUCCAGGCUAAUACUGCAUAAGCCCAGAAAUGGGGAAAGGUGGCCUCAAGCUACCGCUGAAGGAUGAGCCUCUGUCUUAUUAGUUAGUUGGUAGGGUAAAAGCCUACCAAGACGAAGAUGGGUAACCGGCCUGAGAGGGUGUUCGGUCACACUGGAACUGAAACACGGUCCAGACUCCUACGGGAGGCAGCAGUGGGGAAUAUUGCACAAUGGGCGAAAGCCUGAUGCAGCGACGCCGCGUGGAGGACGACGGUCUUCGGAUUGUAAACUCCUGUUAAGUGGGAAAAAAGACCAGCAUCUAAUACAUGCUG